UUCUGCCUGCCCGUUAGGACAUAAUAUAUUUUUUUUUCCCUUGCCCCGUUGCCCGUGGAGAAGGCUCGUCUUCCUCUUGCAGAAGCUCUCCCGCAUCCAGCUGCUCACGUCUGCAUCAGCUCCUCUUCCUCAUCCCUGUCGAGUUAUGACUUGUGACCUAAUUUUACUGAUGGCGGGUCAUUUUUGUCGUGAGAAAGGGAAGGCUCAAUGAGGCAGCACAUUAUUGUAGACAGGCUUUAGCAGUCGUCAUCUGCCCCAAUUAAUUGUCAUAGUAACCUUUGGGAAUGCGAUGAAGGUUCAUGGUCCAUUACAAGAAGUGAGUUACUUUGUUCUUUGAAGAGGAAAUCUGUUUUCUAUAAAUUCUAUAGAAUAACAUAGUGUGAUUUCUUUGCUAAUGUACUUUAAAUUUGGUUUUCUUUUUAUUUGUAUUAUUCUUGCCCUGUGUGCUUGAGUGUUGUAUGUUCAUCUUGGCUGCAAGCAUUUUGUGUUUUGAUCUUCUUGCUAGUGAUUAUAGUUUUCUGAAGUUUCUGGGUUUUUUACUGACCUUUAAUAGUUUAAUUAGGAAAAAUUGUUUUUGAGAACUUUUAUUCUGUUAUACUUUGUACAGAAAUUGGGAAGAAUAAAAAAAUACCAAAAUUGUUCAAAAAAUUCUGAAUUUUGGUUUUCUAAAAUCCUCUACUUCUGUAGAGUAAAAAUAUCCCUAGUUUUCAUAUCGGUUCUUUACAAUAUAAUGUCUUUUUAACCCAGAUUUGUGAACCUUUCAGAAAUCGAAAAGUCUGCCUCUGUUUUAUAUCCAAACACUUUUUUACUUUCGCUUUCUGCAGACAGCCUUACAUUCAGAGUCUAACAGUGUCCAAUCCCAUGAUUGUCAUCAUCAUUUCCCUAAUGAUUUUACGAAAGCCACUGCAUAGGACUGGUUUAUCCUGGGCUUCGUUCAAGGAAAGAGAAGAACUUAACCUAAACCUCUUGUAAAAUCAGUUGAUGACCUAACAUUUAUGAGAACUUGUCACCCUUAAACCAACCUUUUAUGUAGAAUAUCAUACAUUUGUGGGAAAGUUGGUGAAGUUCGUUCUUCUACUCAGUCUACCCAUCUUGUUUUGCAUUCACCCAUCUCUUUAGGGAGUAGAGCUUAUGCCUCCUGGUGAUAUACCAUUUGAUGUCAAGAACAUUUGUAAAAUAAUUUUUUUUUAAUUUUGCUUAAAAACAUUUUAAAAAUGUCUUCGCUCAUAAUGAUAUGUCUUUGCUUUACUCUUAGUAUCUUCUCGAGUAGGAGAAACUUUCAAGUUUUUGUUGUCAAUCAAUGGAAGAGGAAAGCUGAAAAAAUCCUGGAUUUGAACAAUAAGGAAAACUCCUAUGAAGCUGAGAAAGUCAAGACUAGGAAAUGCUAUUGACUCUGGUGUUCAAACAUUUGCAAGGAUUUAGCCUGAAAAUAUAUUGAGAGAGAAGCCACAAUGCUCUGUAAGAUCUUGGCAGGUAGCAAAAUGAGUGUUGAGAGAUGGGCUCGGGGCUUGUGUAGUUGUUCAUCUGAGUCAGUAAUCAAGAGUACCGGGUAGGCAUAAAGCUGAUUUAUGUCUAUUUCGCGAAGAUAAUGGCUUAUGAACCUUUGGCUCGUUGAAAACCCGUAAGGUGAAGCGGGUUGGACACGUGACAAAGCUACACAUAACCACCAAAGCAGUGGAGCUUCGUAGUAGCCUUUGAGGUGGUGAGGUAUUCCCUCAAAGGUGAAGGUCGGCCUGAAAAAAAAAAUCAAAAGGCAAAAAGCUGAAUGCAAAAAAAAGAAAAAAAAAAAAGAAAAAAAAAAGGUGUCUGCCAAGAGAUGAAAGACAUGAAGGCUGAACUCGCAGGAAUUGAAUGUAACGAUCUUUUGUGGAUGUGUGAAUUUGGGGUCAAUAUCUGCUCCUUUUUUUUGAUUACCUAAGAUGUCGAGGAUGAUUCCUUUAUGUUCACAUUUUGGAAAUUGAAAGAUAUCCCUUCUAGAGGUUCAACGACAUUGAUGCGAAAUGAAUCCUAAUCCUUGUAUGGUACUAUGGGUAAGUGAAUGACAUAUUAUUUGCACAACACGAGCACUUAAGUUUAUGAGUUAAAGUGAUAAUUUUGAACUAUUUCAAAGUAAAAUUUGACAUCUCUUGUUAUGUUUCGAGGUUUUCUAGGCAUAAGAGGAACUAAACGAUCCCCUUUGGUCUUGAAAGGUGUUUGCCAUUUCAUUAACAAACCACUAGUCCGUUCAUGGAAUAGAUGAAACUCUUCAAACCUAGUCCACUCAUACUGAAUGUGACAAUUUGUCCAUCUUUUCUUUUGUCUUCAAAGAGAUCAUUUGGGAACCUGACCCAUAAUUCCAUCUUAACCGAGUGUCUUCAACCUGUUUUUCAAUGACAUAACCCAGACUUAGGGAAGAUCUCUUAUUGGUCGAUCUUGAACUGUGACAUUUUUGAAAAAUUUUAUCCUUUAAAGUUGUAUGAGUUUUGUUCCUGGCUUCAUCUAAUAUUUGUCUUGGCUUGCAAUACAUGGUUUUGCAAAAUGGGGUGGAGUUAUUCUUCAUCGUCACCAACCACCCUCACAUGCCUUUGCGCUGUCGCCUUCAUAGUUUUGGACCAGGCUGGCUGAAUGACCUACUCCCCGUCGAUUGAGGCUGUUGCUUUUAAUCCAGUUCUUCCCAUUCCCACGAGAUGCUUUUCCUACAUUGGAGGAGAAGGUGAGCUGAGGUUGGUCCACAAUUAUGUCAGAAUGUAAGGCCCAGGAUCAUGAACUAAAAGGCCUGUUGUGGUUGGCGAACCAAGAGCCUUUGAUGCCAUUCACCAUUCAACGACAACUGUUCUAGAAAAACCAAAGUGAUUGCCUUUUCUUAGCUGCAAAGUCAGAUGGGACUCCUCAUCUCCUGAAGGCUGCUUUUGAAAAUUGCCAUAAGCACAACUUUCAAUUUUCCUAUUUUCUUUCUGCUGAAAAAUGCUCAUUGGCAUACUUGAUUCUUACCAAAACUAUAUUGGGGAGCACAAGGAGCAAGUCAUUGAUGCUGUUACACUGACGACAACAUCUAUGCCCUUGUAAGUUUUAAGUACUUUAUAUGUGUAGUUGCUUUUCUACUAACUAGAUGCGCACAUGUAUAGAUCUUGUUCAUGGGGCACAUGUAUAGAUCUUGUUCAUGCUUGCUAGUGGUAUUCAAAAUUCUUGGACUAUACAAUUGAUGACAUGCCUAUUGUGGGUUGGAGAUGCGCUCAUUUGGGAUCCAAAUGUAGUAUGAAGUUUAUGGUUUGACAAGACCAUCUUUUUUUAGGAAAAAGGAAGCACUUCCCCGAAUAUGUCAUUCACCGGCAAUACCGUCUCAUAUCCAGACGGGACACCCAUUGACGGGACACCCAUUGGUAGACGGCAGCAGCAGACCACCACCAGUAGGCGGAGAGCGGUAAGUGGAUUAUCCAUCAGCGAUCAGGCAGCGGAGGUGAUUGCCUUUUCUUAGCUGCAAAGUCAGAUGGGACUCCUCAUCUCCUGAAGGCUGCUUUUGAAAAUUGCCAUAAGCACAACUUUCAAUUUUCCUAUUUUCUUUCUGCUGAAAAAUGCUCAUUGGCAUACUUGAUUCUUACCAAAACUAUAUUGGGGAGCACAAGGAGCAAGUCAUUGAUGCUGUUACACUGACGACAGCAUCUAUGCCCUUUGGGUUGGAGAUGCGCUCAUUUGGGAUCCAAAUGUAGUAUGAAGUUUAUGGUUAGACAAGACCAUCUUUUUUUAGGAAAAAGGAAGCACUUCCCUGAAUAUGUCAUUCACCGGCAAUACCGUCUCAUAUCCAGACGGGACACCCAUUGGUAGAC